rnacentral:rRNA from 1 species
UACGUAGGGUGCAAGCGUUGUCCGGAAUUACUGGGCGUAAAGGGCUCGUAGGUGGCCAACUAAGUCAGACGUGAAAUCCCCAGGCUUAACCUGGGAACUGCGUCUGAUACUGGAUGGCUUGAAUUCGGGAGAGGGAUGCAGAAUUCCAGGUGUAGCGGUGAAAUGCGUAGAUAUCUGGAGGAAUACCGGUGGCGAAGGCGGCAUCCUGGACCGAGAUUGACACUGAUGAGCGAAAGCUAGGGGAGCAAACGGG